rnacentral:rRNA from 1 species
GAAUUCGAUUAGAGUUUGAUCCUGGCUCAGAACGAACSCUSSCSGCAUGCCUAACACAUGCAAGUCGAACGAUGCUUUCGGGCAUAGUGGCGCACGGGUGCGUAACGCGUGGGAAUCUGCCCUUUGGUUCGGGAUAACAGUUGGAAACGACUGCUAAUACCGGAUGAUAUCGCGAGAUCAAAGAUUUAUCGCCAGAGGAUGAGCCCGCGUAGGAUUAGGUAGUUGGUGGGGUAAAGGCCUACCAAGCCGACGAUCCUUAGCUGGUCUGAGAGGAUGAUCAGCCACACUGGGACUGAGACACGGCCCAGACUCCUACGGGAGGCAGCAGUGGGGAAUAUUGGACAAUGGGCGCAAGCUGAUCCAGCAAUGCCGCGUGAGUGAUGAAGGCCUUAGGGUUGUAAAGCUCUUUUACCCGGGAUGAUAAUGACAGUACCGGGAGAAUAAGCCCCGGCUAACUCCGUGCCAGCAGCCGCGGUAAUACGGAGGGGGCUAGCGUUGUUCGGAAUUACUGGGCGUAAAGCGCACGUAGGCGGCUUUGUAAGUCAGGGGUGAAAGCCUGGAGCUCAACUCCAGAACUGCCUUUGAGACUGCAUCGCUUGAAUCCGGGAGAGGUAAGUGGAAUUCCGAGUGUAGAGGUGAAAUUCGUAGAUAUUCGGAAGAACACCAGUGGCGAAGGCGGCUUACUGGACCGGGAUUGACGCUGAGGUGCGAAAGCGUGGGGAGCAAMCMSSAYUMSMYACCCUGGUAGUCAAUCACUAGUGAAUUCGCGGCCGCCUGCAGGUCGACCAUAUGGGAGA